CCCGUUUGCUCGUCUUUGGUUGCCACUUUGGAAGGGAACUGCCGACUUCCUGUUCCGGGCAUUUUUUUACGUCAUCCACGACGCCAUGACGCAGUCCCGUAACGCCGCAUUCAGGAGCAGAAAUCCUGUUGGAUGAGGAUACGAACGAGAACCCAAAAAGGUCAGAACACGUUUGUUUGUUUUUUGUUUUUAUUAUUUGGCAAAGAGAAUACUAUGAAAGGCCCAUGAUCUUGGGGAUUCUCCAGAGCAAAAUAGAGGGAAAAAAAAAAAAAAAGGCUAAAGCGGUAAAGAAGCAAAAAGAGAAAGUCACACGAUAAGUAAAGUGUCGAAUCUUGUGAUUGGCUGACCAAAAAAAACUGCUGCCGUUGAAUCGUGACUGAUGUGCGUGCAUAUGUGUGUGUUUCCUGGGAGUAAUAUGAACACAAAUCAUCAAAAUCAACAUAUGGCCUCGCUAUUGUCGAAGCAGUCAUUCCCAACCGCUAACGUGCCUUGGCAAAUGAUCCAAUCUCACUUUGCCAAAAAUGAAUCAUCAUUAAAAAUAAAUGUUAUCUUUACUCGUGUAACAUGGCAAAACAAUGAAAUAUUCUUCCGCUUUCAAUCUUCUCCAAUCACCCGUUGCC